rnacentral:rRNA from 1 species
GUGGGGAAUUUUGGACAAUGGGCGAAAGCCUGAUCCAGCCAUGCCGCGUGCAGGAUGAAGGCCUUCGGGUUGUAAACUGCUUUUGUACGGAACGAAAAGACUCUGGUUAAUACCUGGGGUCCAUGACGGUACCGUAAGAAUAAGCACCGGCUAACUACGUGCCAGCAGCCGCGGUAAUACGUAGGGUGCAAGCGUUAAUCGGAAUUACUGGGCGUAAAGCGUGCGCAGGCGGUUAUAUAAGACAGAUGUGAAAUCCCCGGGCUCAACCUGGGAACUGCAUUUGUGACUGUAUAGCUAGAGUACGGCAGAGGGGGAUGGAAUUCCGCGUGUAGCAGUGAAAUGCGUAGAUAUGCGGAGGAACACCGAUGGCGAAGGCAAUCCCCUGGGCCUGCACUGACGCUCAUGCACGAAAGCGUGGGGAGCAAACAGGAUUAGAUACCCUUGUAGUCC